rnacentral:miRNA from 1 species
AUUUCGGUAUACAAAUGGGAUGAC